CCUACGGGGGGCAGCAGUGGGGAAUAUUGCACAAUGGGGGAAACCCUGAUGCAGCGACGCCGCGUGAGUGAAGAAGUAAUUCGUUACGUAAAGCUCUAUCAGCAGGGAAGAAACACUGACCUUACGGUCAGCAGACGGUACCUGAGUAAGAAGCCCCGGCUAACUACGUGCCAGCAGCCGUGGUAAUACGUAGGGGGCAAGCGUUAUCCGGAUUUACUGGGUGGAAAGGGAGCGUAGACGGUGCGCCAAGUCUGGAGGGAAAUGCCGCAGCUUAACUGCGGAACUGCUUUGGAAACUGGCGAACUAGAGUGCGGGAGGGGUAAGCGGAAUUCCUAGUGUAGCGGUGAAAUGCGUAGAUAUUAGGAGGAACACCGGUGGCGAAGGCGGCUUACUGGACCGUAACUGACGUUGAGGCUCGAAAGCGUGGGGAGCAAACAGGAUUAGAUACCCCUGUAGUC
rnacentral:rRNA from 1 species